AUGGAAGUUCCUAAAAAAAUUAAAAAUAGGACUACCAUAUGAUCCAACAAUCCCACUACUAGGUAUAUAUCCAAAGGUUAUAAAAUCAAUAUGUUGAAGAGAUAUCUGCAAUCCUAGCUCAUUGCAGCACUAUUCACAAUAGUCAAGAUAUGGCAUCAGCCUAAGUAUCUAUCAGCAGAUAAAUGGAUAAACUGUGGUACAUAUGCACAAUGGAAUACUAUUCAACCAUAAAAAAAGGAUGAAAUCUUGUCAUUUGCAGCAAUGUGGAUGAAUCUGGAGAACAUUACCUGAAGCGAAAUAAGCCAGGCACAGAAAGAGAAAUACUAUGAGAUCUCACUCAUAUGUAGAAUCUAAAAAGUUAUUCUCAUAGAAGUAGAGAGUAGAAUAGUGGUUACCAGGGAUAGGGAAGAAAAGAGGGAAGGGGGAUAGUGAGACAUUGAUCGACGGUAUAAAGCUAUAGUCAGAUAGGAGGAAUAAGUUCUGGUGGUUUAUUGCAUAGCAGGAUGAUUAGAGCUAAGAACAAUGUAUUAUAUAUUUCCAUAUAGCUUACAGAGAGGUUUUUUGUUUUUUGUUUUUUGUUUUUUUUUGAGGUGGAAUCUCGUUCUGUCACCCAGGCUGGAGUGCAGUGGCGCUCCAGUUCUGUCACUCAGGCUGGAGUGCAGUGGCGCUCCAGUUCUGUCACCCAGGUUGCAGUGGCACGAUCUUGGCUCACUGCAACCUCCGCCUCCGGGUUCACGCGAUUCUCCUGCCUCAGCCUCCUGAGUAGCUGGGAUUACAGGCGCAUACUACCAUGCCUGGCUAAUUUUUUGGGUAUUUUUAGUAGAGACAGGGUUUCACUAUGUUGGCCAGAUUGGUCUCGAACUCCUGACCUCGUGAUCCACCUGCCUUGACCUCCCAAAGUGCUGACAUUACAGGCAUGAGCCACGGCGCCCAGCCACAGAGAAGUAUUUUAAAUGUUCUUAUCAUAAAGAAGUGAUGUUUAUGGUGAUGAUAUGUUAGUUUUCCUAAUUUGAUCUUUACACAGUUUACACAUGUAUGGAACCAUCACAUUGUACCCCCAAAAUAUGUAUGAUUAUGUGUCAGUCAUUUUUAAAAAGAUGAUGGUUCUUAUUAUCUUAAACCUUCCCUUUCCUUAACCUUAGCCCAUCUCAUCCUAAUUAUGACCAACUCCCUCUACCUCCACUUCUUACCAGAAGUUCAGAGGUAGGUGAGAGGAAGAUUGGGAAUUAGGGUUAAGAGGUCCAUAGGCUGGACCAAUUACUUGGUUGUUUUUAAGCUAAAUAGUAAAUGGCUUAUUAUUAAGAUGACAUCAGAAUAGCUAUCUGGUGUCAAAACUACGUCAUCAAAAUGUCCUUAGCAUUUUGAUUAUGGAAGGAACAAUAAGCACGAGUCUGGGUGUAAUGGCUCAUGCCUGUAAUUCCAGCACUUUGGGAGGCCAAGGCAAAAGGAUUGCUUGAAGCCAGGGGUUCAAGGACAGCCGAGGC
rnacentral:lncRNA from 1 species